UACGUAGGGGGCAAGCGUUGUCCGGAUUUAUUGGGCGUAAAGAGCGUGUAGGCGGCCAGGUAGGUCUGCUGUGAAACUCGAGGCUCAACCUCGAGACGUCGGCGGAAACCAUCUGGCUAGAGUCCGGAAGAGGAGAGUGGAAGUUCCUGGUGUAGCGGUGAAAUGCGUAGAUAUCGGGAGGAACACCAGUGGCGAAGGCGGCUCCUGGCCUGCGUCUUGACGCUG
rnacentral:rRNA from 1 species